CAGCCAUCAACACAUUUGUGAAGGAAUUUUUACUCCCUAAAAGAGCGCCCCCCCAUGGCAGGAGAAAAAAGUCCAUUUUUUCUUGUCCCCUAAGGUGAAAAUACACAUUGUUGACUGUCACGCCUGUACGCUUUGGCAAAAUGACACAAAAAUUGACACACACAUGUAUCUCAAUAAGAUCUACAAAAAAGUCAGUGCUGGCGUAUCUGUCAAAUGUACGGUUAAAGGGUUAUUGCGCAUUUUUUGCCGAUCCGCACACAUUGGAAUUUCGCUAACUCCUCCGAAGGCUUUCGUUCCACUGGCACCACAUUUGCUCAGGCCAAUCUACACCCCAUGGCCAUUAAAAGUUAUUCAAAUCAUGACGCUGCACCCCACGGUUUAGGUUCUAGGGGGCGCCAAAAAUAACCCUAAAAUCCACAUAUUUAAAAGUCUUAUAACUUUUUAUUUUUGUCCUCUCUGGCCUCCAAGUUUUCUAGGAUGAUGCAAUGUCCAGCCAUCAACACAUUUGUGAAGGAAUUUUUACUCCCCAAAAGAGCGCCCCCCCAUGGCAGGAGAAAAAAGUCCAUUUUUUCUUGUCCCAUAAGGUGAAAAUUCACACUAUUGACUGUCACGCCUGUACGCUUUGUCAAAAUUACACAAAAAUUGACACACACAUGUAUCUCAAUAAGAUCUACAAAAAAGUCAGUGCUGGCGUAUCUGUCAAAUGUACGGUUAAAGGGUUAUUGCGCAUUUUUUGCCAAUCCGCACACAUUGGAAUUUCGCUAACUCCUCCGAAGGCUUUCGUUCCACUGGCACCACAUUUGCUCAGGCCAAUCUACACCCCAUGGCCAUUAAAAGUUAUUCAAAUCAUGACGCUGCACCCCACGGUUUAGGUUCUAGGGGGCGCCAAAGAUAACCCUAAAAUCCACAUAUUUAAAAGUCUUAUAACUUUUUAUUUUUGUCCUCUCUGGCCUCCAAGUUUUCUAGGAUGAUGCAAUGUCCAGCCAUCAACACAUUUGUGAAGGAAUUUUUACUCCCCAAAAGAGCGCCCCCCCAUGGCAGGAGAAAAAAGUCCAUUUUUUCUUGUCCCAUUAGGUGAAAAUACACAUUGUUGACUGUCAUACCUGUAUGCUUUGUCAUAUUGACACAAAAUUUGACACACACAUGUAUCCCAAUAAGAUCUACGAAAAAGUCAAUGCGCGCGUAUCUGUAAAAUGUACGGUUAAAGGGCUAUUUUGCAUUUUUUGCCGAUUAGCACACAUUGGAAUGUGGCUAACUCCUCCUAAGGCUUUCGUCCCACUGACAUCAAAUUUGCUCAGGCCAAUCUACACCCCAUGGCCAUUCAAAGUUUUAAAAAUCAUGACGCUGCACCCCACGGUUUACGUUCUAGGGGGCGCCAAAGAUGACCCAAAUAUCCACAUUCUUAAAAGAAUCCACAUCCCCCCCCCCCCCCCCCCCCAAUCCCCCAUCCCCCAUCCCCCAUCCCCCAUGGCAGGAGAAACAGUCAAGUUUUUCCUGCCCAUCACUCAAUGGCUCAAUCGCAUCGCUCUCCCGGCAACACCGUAACGAGGAGCAACUUGCCGUUUGGAUAUAUCCUAGCUGUGUUUGUGCCCUCACUCAUGGUCCAGACUUUUUUCAAAUAGGACAUGUAGUUUGUCUGCAGCGAGUGUUUUGGUAGAAACUGCGCCUCCCAUUCAUUAUAAUGGGAAAUGACCACAGACAAGUGCGCACACCAUCUUUGGACCUUGAGUGUGACGCGAUCGGGAGGGGGAGGCGGUCGCACUGGGGGCGGCGCAACGCGGCUCGGGCCCGCCAGUGCCCCAACGGGGCCCUAGUUUCUUCUUUUUCCUCCCCUUUGAACUGGAAAAUGGCCCACUUCCCACUGGCGAAAACUCAUGAAAUUUGGCAGGAUGACCGGGCCUGGUGAAAAAUUUGAUAUUCCGAAGUCGCCCAAACAAGAAAAUGCAAAAUGGCUCCAUAGCGCCCCCUAAGGUGAAAAUUCACACUAUUGACUGUCACGCCUUUACGCUUUGUCAAAAUGACACAAAAAUUGACAAACAUAUGUAUCUCAAUAAGAUCUACAAAAAAGUCAGUGCGGGCGUAUCUGUCAAAUGUACGGUUAAAGGGUUAUUCCGCAUUUUUUGCUGAUCCGCACACAUUGGAAUUUCGCUAACUCCUCCGAAGGCUUUCUUUCCACCGGCACCACAUUUGCUCAGGCCAAUCUACACCCCAUGGCCAUUAAAAGUUAUUCAAAUCAUGACGCUGCACCCCACGGUUUAGGUUCUAGGGGGCGCCAAAGAUAACCCUAAAAUCCACAUAUUUAAAAGUCUUAUAACUUUUUAUUUUUGCCCUCACUGGCCUCCAAGUUUUCUAGGAUGAUGCAAUGUCCAGCCAUCAACACAUUUGUGAAGGAAUUUUUACUCCCCAAAAGAGCGCCCCCCCAUGGCCGGAGAAAAAAGUCCAUUUUUUCUUGUCCCCUAAGGUGAAAAUACACAUUGUUGAGUGUCACGCCUGUACGCUUUGUCAUAUUGACACAAAAUUUGACACACACAUGUAUCUCAAUAAGAUCUACGAAAAAGUCAAUGCGCGCGUAUCUGUCAAAUGUACGGUUAAAGGGUUAUUCCGCAUUUUUUGCUGAUCCACACACAUUGGAAUUUCGCUAACUCCUCCUAAGGCUGGCGUUCCACUGGCACCACAUUUGCUCAGGCCAAUCUACACCCCAUGGCCAUUAAAAGUUAUUCAAAUCAUGACGCUGCACCCCACGGUUUAGGUUCUAGGGGGCGCCAAAGAUAACCCUAAAAUCCACAUAUUUCAAAGUCUUAUAACUUUUUAUUUUUGUCCUCACUGGCCUCCAAGUUUUCUAGGAUGAUGCAAUGUCCAGCCAUCAACACAUUUGUGAAGGAAUUUUUACUCCCCAAAAGAGCGCCCCCCCAUGGCAGGAGAAAAAAGUCAAUUUUUUCUUGUCCCGUAAGGUGAAAAUUCACAUUGUUGAGUGUGACACCUGUACGCUUUGUCAUAUUAACACAAAAUUUGACAAUCACGUGUAUCUCAAUAAGAUCUACGAAAAAGUCAAUGGGUGCGUAUCUGUCAAAUGUAUGGUUAGAGGGCUAUUUUGCAUUUUUUGCCGAUUCGCACACAUUGGAAUUUCGCUAACUCCUCCGAAGGCUUUCGUUCCACCGGCACCACAUUUGCUCAGGCCAAUCUACACCCCAUGGCCAUUAAAAGUUAUUCAAAUCAUGACGCUGCACCCCACGGUUUAGGUUCUAGGGGGCGCCAAAGAUAACCCUAAAAUCCAUAUAUUUAAAAGUCUUAUAACUUUUUAUUUUUGUCCUCUCUGGCCUCCAAGUUUUCUAGGAUGAUGCGAAUCCAGCCAUCAACACAUUUGUGAAGGAAUUUUUACUCCCCAAAAGAGCGCCCCCCCAUGGCAGGAGAAAAAAGUCAAUUUUUUCUUGUCCCAUAAGGUGAAAAUACACAUUGUUGACUGUCAUACCUGUAUGCUUUGUCAUAUUGACACAAAAUUUGACACACACAUGUAUCUCAAUAAGAUCUACGAAAAAGUCAAUGCGCGCGUAUCUGUAAAAUGUACGGUUAAAGGGC
rnacentral:lncRNA from 1 species